ensembl:lncRNA
UAAAACACUUCCGUUUCAGCCUCCGAGUGAACUCAUCGCUGGGUGUCAGUGGGCGUGUAUCUACUGUAAAGCGCUUUAACCUCAGUGCUACUUUCUCACCGAGCAGGGACAGGAAGACACUUAACGGCUCAACAACAUUCACGUUUAUCUUUGUGCUUUCUUUCCCUCUUAAAUUAGCUGUCCUGUCUCGUUUAAAUCUAGAAUCAAGUUGCACAACGUGUAGUGUGCGAAAACAUUAGCACCUUUUUAUCCACUAAACUCCUGAGAUACUUUCUGAAUCGGAGUGCUGCAGUUACAGGGUGGGAUUAACAGCGCUUUACUUUCAUGUGCUAGUGAGAUUUGGAUCGACAGCUCGAGUGUCCAGCUGAGGAUGAUGAUGAUGAUGACGAUGACGCCGCUCCUGAGAGCUCAUCUUGAAAAAAUCGUUGAGAUGCGUCUUGCCAAGCAUUCAAGUAUGCGUGCACGAUCACUUAUUUUACCCUAUGGAUUAACAGCGGAGCCUCUUUAUGGUGCUCCUCAAAGCACCUAAAUACUGGCCAUCUUGCACUCACUUCUGCAUAGCACUUGAGAGCUCUCACUGGACACAGGACUGGCUUGGGUACAUUCUCAUCUGCAAGGGCAGAUAGAUUGAUAGGUUUAUUAAUAUACCACACAACAAUAUCUUUGGCAUGGG